rnacentral:piRNA from 1 species
GAACUUAGGGAACCUUUAUAAAGC